GACAGAGGGUGCAAACGUUGUUCGGAAUUACUGGGCGUAAAGCGUGUGUAGGCGGCCUUAUAAGUCGGAUGUGAAAGCCCAGGGCUCAACCCUGGAAGUGCACUCGAUACUGUAAGGCUCGAGUACUGGAGAGGUUGGUGGAAUUCUCGGUGUAGAGGUGAAAUUCGUAGAUAUCGAGAGGAACACCGGUGGCGAAGGCGACUCACUGGCCCGAAUCUGACACUGAGGUGCGAAAGCUAGGGUAGCAAACGGG
rnacentral:rRNA from 1 species